CCAGUUUGAUUCUGGYUCAUGAUGAACGCUGGAGGUAUGCUUAACACAUGCAAGUCGAACGGGACUCUUCGGAGUUCACUGGSGGACGGGYGAGUAACGCGYGAGAAUCUGGCCUCAGGUUCGGGACCUCCACUGGAAACGGUGGCUAAUACCGGAUGUGCCUAAGGGGAAAAGAUUAAUUGCCUGAGGAUGAGCUCGCGUCUGAUUAGCUAGGUGGUGGGGUAAGAGCCUACCUUGGCGYCGAUCAGUAACUGGUCUGAUAGGAUGAUCAGUCACACUGGGACUGAGACACGGCCCASACUCCUACGGGAGGCAGCAGUGGGGAAUUUUCCGCCUUGGGCGAAASCCUGACGGACCAAUACCSCGUGGGGGAGGAAGGCUCUUGGGUCSUGCCGCGUGUAUGAAGAAGGCCUUCGGGUUGUAAAGUACUUUCAGCGGGGAGGAAGGGAGUAAAGUUAAUACCUUUGCUCAUUGACGUUACCCGCAGAAGAAGCACCGGCUAACUCCGUGCCAGCAGCCGCGGUAAUUGUCCGGAAUGACUGGGCGUACAGGGUGCGCAGGUGGUGUGGUAGGUGACGUGUGACAGCGGACGGCUCAACCGUGCGUGGCCGCGACAAACCGCCAGACUCGAGACCUGGAGAGGGAAGUGGAAUUCCCGGUGGAGCGGUGAAAUGCGUAGAGAUCGGGAGGAACACCAGGGGCGAAGGCGGCUUCCUGGCCAGGAACUGACACUGAGGCACGAAAGCGUGGGGAGCAAACGGGAUUAGAUACCCCGGUAGUCCACGCUGUAAACGAUGUGGAGCCGGUGCGCGUGGGGGAUUGGCCCUGGGCGUGCCUGAGCAUACGCGAUGACUCCACCGCCUGGGGACUACGGUCGCAAGACUAAAACUCAAAUGAAUUGACGGGGG
rnacentral:rRNA from 1 species